GGGAGGCAGCAGUGAGGAAUAUUGGUCAAUGGACGCAAGUCUGAACCAGCCAUGCCGCGUGAAGGAUGACUGCCCUAUGGGUUGUAAACUUCUUUUAUAGAGGAAGAAACCUUUCUACGUGUAGAAAGCUGACGGUACUCUACGAAUAAGGACCGGCUAACUCCGUGCCAGCAGCCGCGGUAAUACGGAGGGUCCAAGCGUUAUCCGGAUUUAUUGGGUUUAAAGGGUCCGUAGGCGGGGUUUUAAGUCAGUGGUGAAAGCCUACAGCUCAACUGUAGAACUGCCAUUGAAACUGGAACUCUUGAAUGUGAUUGAAGUGGGCGGAAUAUGUCAUGUAGCGGUGAAAUGCUUAGAUAUGACAUAGAACACCGAUAGCGAAGGCAGCUCACUAAGUCAUGAUUGACGCUGAUGGACGAAAGCGUGGGGAGCGAACAGGAUUAGAUACCCUGGUAGUCCACGCCGUAAACGAUGAUCACUAGCUAUUGGCGAUACACAGUCAGUGGCACAGCGAAAGUGUUAAGUGAUCCACCUGGGGAGUACGAUCGCAAGGUUGAAACUCAAAGGAAUUGACGGGGGCCCGCACAAAGGGC
rnacentral:rRNA from 1 species